rnacentral:lncRNA from 10 species
ACUCAAUUUAGCUGUGUCAGUAUGGUCUUUGCUUGACUCACAAUGCCAUUACUUUAUGCCAUUUACAAGGCUGGUCACUCCAUUUUGCAAAAUGCUUGUGAAAUAUAGGCUUUCAUGCAAAAGGCAUUAAUAAGAGCAGAAGUCUUCAUCUAAGACAAGCAAUUUUAGUCCUUAACAGUAACAGGGGUCUUAUUCUAUUACCCAGCUGGGUGCAGUGGCAUAAUCUCAGCUCACUGCAGGCUCAACCUCCUGGACUCAAGCUAUCCUCCUGCUUCAGCCUCCCAUGUAGCUGGGAAUACAGGUGUGUAUCAUCAUAUCUUGCUGAUUUUUGUAUUUUUUUGCACAGACCGGGUCUCACCACAUUGCCUAGGCUGGUUUUGAACUCCUGGACAGAAGUGAUCUACCCACCUUGGCCUCCCAAAGAGCUGGUAAUACUGGCAGGAGCUGCCAAGCCCAGUCAGGCUAAAUUUAAAAUAUGGUUCAGUUAGACUCUCUUUUGCACCACAAGUAAACUAGAUAGUUUGUUAGCCUUUCUCACUAAGUAAAUAACACAUUCACGUGCUUGACACAAUGCAAAAAUCCUGGAAGUUAUUCAUGUAUCAACGUUAAAUCCCCCAAAACACCCCAGACACACUCAAAUGCCCACAUGCUGUCACUUCACCCAAGCUGCUAUUAUGUCUUAAAGGGAGUUCCUAGUGGUCAUAGCAGGGCUGUUUUCAAGCAGCUCCAGCAGUUAUCAGCAUUCAACUGUUAGGAAUCCCCUGCUUCACUGGGCUUACCAUAGAAUGUAGGAUGUAAACUAAGCUCCACUUUGAAGUCUAUGAGGACUGUGUGACUGCCUUCUUUCCUACUUUUCACCCUAAGUCUAACCAUGUCUCCUUCACUGUGAUCCUGCAACACCAACCUUCUCUCUCUCUUUCCUGAAACCAUAAAGCUAAUGCAUACCUCAGGGCCUCUGAUUCUUCCAGCCACUGGCUAGCUAUCACAGCCCUCAGAUCCUCCUGGGAUGCCGUCUCCUUACCACUGAGUUUCAGGUACCAUCUUCAAUGACUGACUGACCUAAAUUUUCCUUUGGAAAUUUUUCUUUGUCUCUCCU